rfam:Otolemur garnettii contig125367, whole genome shotgun sequence.
GCCAGGCGUAGUGGUGCAUACCUGUAGUUCCAGCUAUUUGGGAGGCUGAGACAGGAGGAUUGCUUGAGUCCAGGAGUUCUGGGCUGUAGUGAGCUAUGCCAAUCAGGUGUCUGCACUAAGUUCAGAAUCAAUAUGGUGACCUCCUGGGAGCAGGGGACCACCAGGUUGCCUAUGGAGGGGUGAUUCGGCCCAAGUUGGAAAUGGAGCAGGUCAAAACUCCCAUGCUGAUCAGUAGUGGGAUCAUGCCUGUGAAUAGGCACGGCACUCCAGCCUGGGCAACAUAGUGAGACCCUGUCUCUU